GAUGAAGAACGUAGCGAAAUGCGAUAAGUAAUGUGAAUUGCAGAAUUCAGUGAAUCAUCGAAUCUUUGAACGCAUCUUGCGCUCCUUGGUAUUCCGAGGAGCAUGCCUGUUUGAGUGUCAUUAAAUUCUCAACUACACUGACUUUGAAUUGGUGUGGCUUGGAUUUGGGGGGAAAAUUGUUGUGGGCUUUUUGUAUAGUCUGCUCCCCUGAAAUUGAUUAGCGGUACCUUUGUGGAACUGUCUACAGGUGUGAUAAUUAUCUACAUCUUAGACAUCUGCUGGAAUGCUGCUUUCUAAACCUUACUUGUAUUGACAAUCUUGACCUCAAAUCAGGUAGGACUACCCGCUGAACUUAAGCAUAUCAAUAAGCGGAGGA
rnacentral:misc_RNA from 1 species